AACGAACGCUGGCGGCAUGCCUAACACAUGCAAGUCGAACGAGACCUUCGGGUCUAGUGGCGCACGGGUGCGUAACGCGUGGGAACCUGCCCUUAGGUUCGGAAUAACUCCCCGAAAGGGGUGCUAAUACCGGAUAAUGUCUUCGGACCAAAGAUUUAUCGCCUUUGGAUGGGCCCGCGUUGGAUUAGCUAGUUGGUAGGGUAAAAGCCUACCAAGGCGACGAUCCAUAGCUGGUCUGAGAGGAUGAUCAGCCACACUGGGACUGAGACACGGCCCAGACUCCUACGGGAGGCAGCAGUGGGGAGUAUUGGACAAUGGGCGAAAGCCUGAUCCAGCAAUGCCGCGUGAGUGAUGAAGGCCUUAGGGUUGUAAAGCUCUUUUACCCGGGAUGAUAAUGACAGUACCGGGAGAAUAAGCGCCGGCUAACUCCGUG
rnacentral:rRNA from 1 species